GUUCUAUCCUGCCGGUGCAUCGUAUAACCAGCCUCUGUUCUAUCCUGCCGGUGCAUCGUAUAACCAGCCUCUGUUCUAUCCUGCCGGUGCAUCGUAUAACCAGCCUCUCCUCUGUUCUGUCCUGCCGGUGCAGCGUAUAACCAGCCAGCCUCUGUUCUAUCCUGCCGGUGCAGCGUAUAACCAGCCAGCCUCUGUUCUAUCCUGCCGGUGCAUCGUAUAACCAGCCACGCCUCUGUUCUAUCCUGCCGGUGCAUCGUAUAACCAGCCUGCCUCUGUUCUAUCCUGCCGGUACAGUGUAUAACCAGCCAGCUGUAUGUUGACAGUGAUAUAUAUGAUAUAACCUCUGUUCUGUCCUGACAGUGUCGUUCAGCCAAGAUAUAAGAUAUUACAGUUUUGAAUGUCCCGUUGGUUGUUUAAUCUUCUGCUUAGGUCAUCUAUUUUGUUGUCCAAAGAUGGCACGUUUGCUAGCAGAAUGCAAGGAAGUGGAGGUUUAUUCGAUCGCCUAUGAAUUCUCAGAAGGCAGCCCGCCCACAUUGACCCCCCCAUACAGUUCAUACCACAUUGCCCCCCCAUACAGUUCAUACCACAUUG
ensembl:lncRNA